GGAGCUGUAGCUCAGUUGGCAGAGUAUCGGAUUCCAAAUCCGACGGUCGCAGGUUCAAAUCCUGUCAGCUUCA